CUCACAUACAUAAUAAAUAAUGUGUUUUUAUUGAUAGAACCGGUUAGAUCAGAGUCUCCUCUGCAGAAUUCUCUUCCUUCAAUCGAGUAAAUGGGUCCAUAGCAAGGUUUGUGCCAGCCUGGUAGAAAUCGAAUGAUCACCAUGGAAACAAGUGGAAUGUUUAUGUUAAAUGUAUCACGUUUAGAAUCUUGCCCCAGAUAUACAAGCAGGAAAUCAAUAACACAUUCUUAGCAAAUAGCUUGCUAGUGCUAUACAAUAUUUAUCUGUCAAAAAAUAAUAAUAAAAGGUCUAUAGGAUUUAAGCAAUUCGAUAUGUUUUCCAUAAAAUGGCUGUAUGAACCAAUCACACGUUGAUAUGCCCCCACUGCACCCCUGGCACAGUAAUGCCAUGCCCCAUCUGUCCCACCAAUCCCUUCACAAAAGACUGUUCCCAAUCCAACCCUUUCUUAUAAAAAUCAUUUUCCUUCCAAAUAAAGCUGAGAAUCCCAGGAUUUUCAAAGUCUGUGAUCAGAUCCUCUUAUUUAGAGACCUGCUGGAUUCUCACUGCUGUGCUGUCCAUUGCAGGAUACUGAGUGGUGGAGGAGCUUAGAGAGAAUAUGUUUUUUUUCCAGUGAAAUUGACAGCACAGCCCAGUUCCUGCAGCAAACUCAACCCAGAUGAUGAUAUCAUAGCAUUCAUCAAUUACCUGGUGUUUGGCUCCACCUACAGAUGGAGAGAAGUACUGCAGCGUGUAAUAGAACGCGUUACAGACAGACAGGCUUGCUUUGUGUGUUCUGUAACGCCUUAUCAUGUCAGAAAACAGAUGAAUGCUCUAUAAAACUCACUUUCUCCUUUUUUUUUUUAUUCCAUACAGCUUUUUCCAUUGCUUAAAGACACAGUCUAAGUACCAUAAUAACUGCAGCCUGCUGGAUAUGGUGCCAAUAGAGCCCUCGUGCACUCCUAGAGUAAGUAGUUAAACCGUUUAAGAAUGGUUUGACAACUUACCUGCAUCCCGCUGGGUGCCCUCCACCACCUCCCCUGCUGCCAGAAGCUUCUGUCACUGAACUAAGCCUGGUUACGCACUUGAUGCACAACCAUUGAAUGCUGCCGGGCACAGUAGGGGUUAACUCAGUGGAGCUAAUUAGAAGCUUCCAGCACCAGAGGAGGUGGCACUGCGUACCUGGUAGGACCCAGGUAAGUUGUAAAAUCGUUAAAAGGCUGACAAAUAACCAAGAGGGUCACAACUGUUGCAGGGUCACCUUUGUUGGUGACUUAAUAAAGACAUCUAUGCAGUGAAUACUAGAACUGGUUGUCUAUAUUAGUGCUGACGAUUCUAGAGGUGGGUUUCUGUUGACCGUGGUUCUUGUAAAUAUUCAGAGCUCAGUAAAAUCUGGGUGUCUGGGUCCAGUAAUCCAUAUAAGCAGGAACUACCAGAACAAUACCACCAAUGAAAAGAUGGCCAAUAUUACUCAAUUCUGUUAAAACUGCAAAUGUAAU